AUAUCUGUUUCAUCAACCAAUUCUUUCUCUGCAGUGUCAGUAACUUGGUCUUCUUCCUGAGAAUCUUCCAUUAUCACUCUCUUUUCUUCUUCCUCCUCCUCCUCUGUGUCAGCUACUGCGUCUUCUUCCUGAGAAUCUACCAUUAUCACUCCCUUUUCUUCUUCUUGUUCUUCUUCUUCCUCCUUCUCAAGAAGAAGAGGAAGUGAGGUGUUGCAGA